UCUGGUGAUGAUGGCGUAGAGGAAACACUCCUUCCCAUUCCGAACAGGAAAGUUAAGCUCUACAGCGUCAAUGGUACUGCAUGGGUGACCGUGUGGGAGAGUAGAACGUUGCCAGGUA
rnacentral:rRNA from 1 species